GCUAGCCAAUUUACCACCCUGAACGCGCCCGAUCUCGUCUGAUCUCGGAAGCUAAGCAGGGUUGGGUUUGGCCUGGUUAGUA
ensembl:rRNA 5S_rRNA 5S ribosomal RNA